UACGUAGGGGCCGAGCGUUGUCCGGAGUUACUGGGCGUAAAGCGCGCGCAGGCGGCGCGGUAAGCAUGGCCUGAAAGCCCCCGGCUCAACCGGGGAGUGCGGCUGCGAACUGGAUUUCUUGAGGACGAUAGAGGAGAGUGGAAUUCCUGGUGUAGCGGUGAAAUGCGUAGAUAUCAGGAGGAACACCCGAGGCGAAGGCGGCUCUCUGGGUCGUACCUGACGCUGGAGGCGCGGAA
rnacentral:rRNA from 1 species